CAGGAGGGUGAGCGUUAUCGGAAUAUGGGCGUAAAGCGCACGCAGGCGGUCUGUUAAGUCAGAUGUGAAAUCCCCGGGCUUAACCUGGGAACUGCAUUUGAAACUGGCAGGCUUGAGUCUCGUAGAGGGGGGUAGAAUUCCAGGUGUAGCGGUGAAAUGCGUAGAGAUCUGGAGGAAUACCGGUGGCGAAGGCGGCCCCCUGGACGAAGACUGACGCUCAGGUGCGAAAGCGUGGGGAGCAAACAGGAUUAGAUACCCUGGUAGUCCACGCCGUAAACGAUGUCGACUUGGAGGUUGUUCCCUUGAGGAGUGGCUUCCGGAGCUAACGCGUUAAGUCGACCGCCUGGGGAGUACGGCCGCAAGGUUAAAACUCAAAUGAAUUGACGGGGGCCCGCACAAGCGGUGGAGCAUGUGGUUUAAUUCGAUGCAACGCGAAGAACCUUACCUACUCUUGACAUCCAGCGAACGGGGCAGAGAUGCCCCGGUGCCUUCGGGAGC
rnacentral:rRNA from 1 species